CCUACGGGAGGCAGCAGUAGGGAAUCUUCCACAAUGGGCGAAAGCCUGAUGGAGCAACGCCGCGUGGGUGAAGAAGGUCUUCGGAUCGUAAAACCCUGUUGUCAGAGAAGAAAGUGCGUGAGAGUAACUGUUCACGUGUCGACGGUAUCUAACCAGAAAGCCACGGCUAACUACGUGCCAGCAGCCGCGGUAAUACGUAGGUGGCAAGCGUUAUCCGGAUUUAUUGGGCGUAAGGGGAACGCAGGCGGUCUUUUAAGUCUGAUGUGAAAGCCUUCGGCUUAACCGGAGUAGUGCAUUGGAAACUGGGAGACUUGAGUGCAGAAGAGGAGAGUGGAACUCCAUGUGUAGCGGUGAAAUGCGUAGAUAUAUGGAAGAACACCAGUGGCGAAAGCGGCUCUCUGGUCUGUAACUGACGCUGAGGUUCGAAAGCGUGGGUAGCAAACAGGAUUAGAUACCCCAGUAGUC
rnacentral:rRNA from 1 species